GUUACUUCGGUACAUCGGUGACAGGUGGUGCAUGGUUGUCGUCAGCUCGUGUCGUGAGAUGUUGGGUUAAGUCCCGCAACGAGCGCAACCCCUAUUGUUAGUUGCCAUCAUUCAGUUGGGCACUCUAGCGAGACUGCCGGUAAUAAACCGGAGGAAGUGGGAUGACGUCAAAUCAUCAUGCCCCUUAUGACCUGGGCUACACACGUGCUACAAUGGUUGGUACAACGAGUUGCGAGUCGGUGACGGCGAGCUAAUCUCUUAAAGCCAAUCUCAGUUCGGAUUGUAGGCUGCAACUCGCCUACAUGAAGUCGGAAUCGCUAGUAAUCGCGGAUCAGCACGCCGCGGUCGAAUACGUUCCCGGGCCUU
rnacentral:rRNA from 1 species